rnacentral:rRNA from 1 species
UACGUAGGGACCAAGCGUUGUUCGGAUUUACUGGGCGUAAAGGGCGCGUAGGCGGCAAUUCAAGUCAUCUGUGAAAUCUCCGGGCUUAACUCGGAACGGUCAGAUGAUACUGCUUUGCUCGAGUGCGGAAGGGGCAAUCGGAAUUCUUGGUGUAGCGGUGAAAUGCGCAGAUAUCAGGAGGAACACCGGUGGCGAAGGCGGGAUCCUGGGCCAGUACUGACGCUGAGGAGCGAAAGCGUGGGGAGCAAACAGG